GACGGAGGGUGCUAGCGUUGUUCGGAAUCACUGGGCGUAAAGGGCGCGUAGGCGGCCAAGGCAGUCGGCUCGUGAAAGCCCGGGGCUCAACCCCGGAGGUGCGGCCGAUACUCUUUGGCUCGAGGCCGGAAGAGGAGGGUGGAAUACCCAGUGUAGAGGUGAAAUUCGUAGAUAUUGGGUGGAACACCGGUGGCGAAAGCGGCUCUCUGGUCCGGUCCUGACGCUGAGGCGCGAAAGCGUGGGGAGCAAACAGG
rnacentral:rRNA from 1 species